rnacentral:rRNA from 1 species
GACGAACGCUGGCGGCGUGCUUAACACAUGCAAGUCGAACGGGCCUUGUCCCCUUUUUUUUUGGGGGUGGGGUUAGUGGCGAACGGGUGAGUAACACGUGAGUAACCUGCCCCUCACUUCUGGAUAACCGCUUGAAAGGGUGGCUAAUACGGGGUGUUCUGGCCUGCUCGCAUGGGUGGGUUUGGAAAGAUUCGACCGGUUUGGUUGUUUUGGUGGGGGAUGGGCUCGCGGCCUAUCAGCUUGUUGGUGGGGUGAUGGCCUGCCAAGGCUUUGACGGGUAGCCGGCCUGAGAGGGUGGGCGGUCACACUGGACUGAGACACGGCCCAGACUCCUACGGGAGGCAGCAGUGGGGAAUAUUGCACAAUGGGCGCAAGCCUGAUGCAGCGACGCCGCGUGAGGGAUGGAGGCCGUCGGGUUGUGAACCUCUUUCGCCAGUGAAGAAGGUCCUGCUCUUUGUGGUGGGGUUGACGGUAGCUGGGUUAAUGAAGCGCCGGCUAACUACGUG